UGAUUUUGCCAUGGCUGGAUGGCGGGGCCCUGGGCUGCCCUCUGUGAAUGGCCUCUCCGGGUAUUUCCUGACCCCUCCUGUGCCUCUGCUUCCAGGUCACCUUUCUGCUUCCAAUAAAGAAAUGCACAAUGCAGAAAAGAGUUAGAGCCUGCCACAGCCUGGGGUCCUCCGGCCCUUCCCAGGGCUGCCGCUGUGGCUGGAGAGACCCCCGUUUCAGAGCUGGAGAUUCACCCGCUGAACAAAAUAUUCCUUGCAUACCUGCUGUGCUCCCCA
rnacentral:lncRNA from 1 species